GAACUAAGUGGUUAUAGCUUUCGUCUCGAAUGCGGGAGGUCGCGGGUUCGAAUCCCGGUCGAGUCA